AUUGAACGCUGGCGGCAUGCCUUACACAUGCAAGUCGAACGGCAGCACGGGAGCAAUCCUGGUGGCGAGUGGCGAACGGGUGAGUAAUAUAUCGGAACGUGCCCAGUCGUGGGGGAUAACGUAGCGAAAGCUACGCUAAUACCCGCAUACGAUCUAUGGAUGAAAGCGGGGGAUCGCAAGACCUCGCGCGAUUGGAGCGGCCGAUAUCAGAUUAGGUAGUUGGUGGGGUAAAAGCCUACCAAGCCUUCGAUCUGUAGCUGGUCUGAGAGGACGACCAGCCACACUGGAACUGAGACACGGCCCAGACUCCUACGGGAGGCAGCAGUGGGGAAUUUUGGACAAUGGGCGCAAGCCUGAUCCAGCAAUGCCGCGUGAGUGAAGAAGGCCUUCGGGUUGUAAAGCUCUUUCAGUCGAGAAGAAAAGGCUGCAGUGAAUAACUGUAGUUUAUGACGGUAUCGACAGAAGAAGCACCGGCUAACUACGUG
rnacentral:rRNA from 1 species